CAGUCGCCACGGUAAUACAGAGGGUGCAAGCGUUAAUCGGAGUUACUGGGCGUAAAGGGCGCGUAGGCGGUUAUAUAAGUGAGAUGUGAAAUCCCUGGGCUUAACCUAGGAACUGCAUCUUAUACUGUAUGGCUAGAGUAUUGUAGAGGGUAGUGGAAUUCCGAGUGUAGAGGUGAAAUUCGUAGAUAUUCGGAGGAACACCAGUGGCGAAGGCGGCUCACUGGUCCAUUACUGACGCUGAGGCUCGAAAGCGUGGGGAGCAAACAGGAUUAGAGACCCGAGUAGUCCCUGUCUCUUAUAC
rnacentral:rRNA from 1 species